rnacentral:rRNA from 2 species
CUUAAAUUGAAGAGUUUGAUCAUGGCUCAGAUUGAACGCUGGCGGCAGGCCUAACACAUGCAAGUCGAGCGGUAGCACGGGGGAGCUUGCUCCUUGGGUGACGAGCGGCGGACGGGUGAGUAAUGUCUGGGAAACUGCCUGAUGGAGGGGGAUAACUACUGGAAACGGUAGCUAAUACCGCAUAACCUCGCAAGAGCAAAGAGGGGGACCUUCGGGCCUCUCGCCAUCAGAUGUGCCCAGAUGGGAUUAGCUAGUAGGUGAGGUAAUGGCUCACCUAGGCGACGAUCCCUAGCUGGUCUGAGAGGAUGACCAGCCACACUGGAACUGAGACACGGUCCAGACUCCUACGGGAGGCAGCAGUGGGGAAUAUUGCACAAUGGGCGCAAGCCUGAU